rnacentral:lncRNA from 1 species
AUGCAGUUACUUUCCUGCCCAAAGUUCUGGUGUUCUUGUCUGUGUAGUAGAUUACACAAAUGGAUCCCGAAUGUUUCUAUCAUGAUAUGCCCUAAAAUGCCUUUAUAUAAUACACAUACCUAUAGAUACAGUGACAUAUACAUACAUAUCUCUAAAGGUAUAUGUCUGUACAAGAUCACAGACAUUUAUACCCAACCAGACAGAAACACACACAAACCUUUUCAGAGACACAUAAAUACAUGCGGCUCACCCUUGAACAGCCAGGGGNCUGGUCCUGGUUUCAUGCACACUGUCAAAGGCUCAGUACAGGUGCUCAAAGAGUGGGAAGAAGAACAAAUCCAUCUGUCCAUCCGUCAAGGCAGCAGGCUGGGCCGCGGAAACUGGGCACUCAUCCCACUGACGACAACGGUCACAUCUGCACAGUCACCUGAAACACACAGAUGCUCCUAAGCACCGCCACAGCGUUCAUGAGUGAUCACACCUCCCAGCCCACUCACCAGCCCUCAACCUCUCCUGAUUUUCUGAUUCCUUCUGAUUUUUGUCUGAGGGCUGGGAAAAUCUCAACAGAGGGGAGCUGUUAACUUUUCUCUAGAAAACAACUUUCCCCAGCUAUUUGUCAACUUCUGUCAUUCAGAGGGCUACAACACAAACGUAUAUCUUUAAUGAAAUUCACAGUCAAGAAAAGUUGUCAUCAUCUAGCUAUAUCUGUUAUGACAUACAUUUCAUUUUGUUCAAUACAUAACAGAGAAGUUAUUUAAUCAAACAGAAGAUUCUUGCUAAAAUGACAGUCCAAGCAAUGUCCAAACAAGCAUUUAUUAUGCUACGGGAAACUGAUCAGGAUUGGAUUGUUUUCAGCAGAAUUUUUUCCUUCCUCUUCCACAGAGAAAAUAGCUUGAGGGGUGGGUGCAGAAAAACAACUCCAGACAAUCGAGGUGGAGUGACACUGAGUCAGUGGUAAGUGCGGGUACUUAAGCCCCACCCUUAGGUCAGUGGGGAGAAAACUAAUUAAAAAAAAAAAAACCUCCUACCAUGUGGAUAGUCAUAAAAGGGUCUGCUGCAAGGAGAGGCUGGGUCUUCCUUUUCCUCACCAUGUAACUCUACAGAGGAGAGGUUUUGGCCCAAAUAUAAUACACAAUGUAAGGAACACAUCUGUGUUUCUCAAUGACACUUACUCUUGGAUAUAUUUUGUCUUUUCAAUUUAAUGAACACUUAGCUUCAAUGAGAAAACGUAUGCGACUGAAGAAUUUAGUGGGUUGUAGACCUAGAAAGCCCAAGGCCAAAAAUCAAGGGGGGAAUAAAUGUUAGGGUGGUAACUGGGUAUUUGGGCUUUGGGCAACACACAGGGUGUGAAUUUGAGGAAAAGAAAACAAAAGAUACCAUUCAUACUUGCUAUGCUAUGCCAAGUCACUUCAGUCGUGUCUGACUCUGUGCGACCCCAUAGACGGC